CAUCAACACACCGGCGCUGAAAUCUCGUGGGUCUGCAUUGUCAUCAUACGGCACAGUUUCGUUCAGUGUGUAGCACCAUGAGAUUCAGCUCCGGCGUUUUGAUA
rnacentral:pre_miRNA from 1 species